AGAGUUUGAUCCUGGCUCAGGACGAACGCUGGCGGUGUGCUUAACACAUGCAAGUCGAACGGUAAGGCCCUUUCGGGGGUACACGAGUGGCGAACGGGUGAGUAACACGUGAGUAACCUGCCCUCAUCUCUGGGAUAACAGUCGGAAACGGUUGCUAAUACUGGAUAUGAGCUUGCAAGGCAUCUUGUGGGUUGGAAAGAUAUUUUUUGGUUGGGGAUGGACUCGCGGCCUAUCAGCUUGUUGGUGAGGUAGUGGCUCACCAAGGCUUCGACGGGUAGCCGGCCUGAGAGGGCGACCGGCCACAUUGGGACUGAGAUACGGCCCAAACUCCUACGGGAGGCAGCAGUGGGGAAUAUUGCACAAUGGACGGAAGUCUGAUGCAGCAACGCCGCGUGCGGGAUGACGGCCUUCGGGUUGUAAACCGCUUUCAAUUGUGACGAAGCUUUUUUGUGACGGUAGCAGUAGAAGAAGCACCGGCUAACUACGUGCCAGCAGCCGCGGUGAUACGUAGGGUGCGAGCGUUGUCCGGAUUUAUUGGGCGUAAAGAGCUUGUAGGCGGUUUGUCGCGUCGGGAGUGAAAACUUGGGGCUUAACCCUGAGCUUGCUUUCGAUACGGGCUGACUUGAGGGAGGUAGGGGAGAAUGGAAUUCCUGGUGGAGCGGUGGAAUGCGCAGAUAUCAGGAGGAACACCGGUGGCGAAGGCGGUUCUCUGGACCUUUCCUGACGCUGAGAAGCGAAAGCGUGGGGAGCGAACAGGCUUAGAUACCCUGGUAGUCCACGCCGUAAACGGUGGGUACUAGGUGUGGGGGACAUUCCACGUUCUCCGUGCCGUAGCUAACGCAUUAAGUACCCCGCCUGGGGAGUACGGCCGCAAGGCUAAAACUCAAAGGAAUUGACGGGGCCCCGCACAAGCGGCGGAGCAUGCGGAUUAAUUCGAUGCAACGCGAAGAACCUUA
rnacentral:rRNA from 1 species